GGAAUAUUGGACAAUGGAGGCAACUCUGAUCCAGCCAUCCCGCGUGCCGGAUGAAGGCCCUAUGGGUUGUACACGGCUUUUAUGAGGGAAGAACUAAGUCUAUUCAUAGAUUUUUGACGGUACCUCAGGAAUAAGCACCGGCUAACUCCGUGCCAGCAGCCGCGGUAAUACGGAGGGUGCAAGCGUUAUCCGGAAUCACUGGGUUUAAAGGGUGCGUAGGCGGCGCAAUAAGUCAGGGGUGAAAGGUCACGGCUCAACCGUGGAAUUGCCUUUGAUACUGUUGAGCUUGAAUCAGGUUGAGGUUGGCGGAAUGUGGCAUGUAGCGGUGAAAUGCAUAGAUAUGCCAUAGAACACCGAUUGCGAAGGCAGCUGGCUAGGCCUUGAUUGACGCUGAGGCACGAAAGCGUGGGGAGCGAAC
rnacentral:rRNA from 1 species